ACCUUUUUCUCUCAGUUGGUUAGAGCGUGGAGCUGAUAAUGCCAAGGUUGCAGGUUCGAUCCCUGUCGAGGACA